UCAAGAAACUAAGGGCGCAAGGCGGAUGCCUUGGCACCAGGAGGCGAAGAAGGACGUGACAAGCAACGAAAACCUCGAAUAGGAGCAAAUAUCCAGUAACUCGGGGGAAUCCGAAUGGGGAAACCUACUAGACACACUCUAGUAUCCAUACGUGAAUCAAUAGCGUAUGGAAGCGAAUGUUCUGAACUGAAACAUCUAAGUAGGAACAAGAAAAGAAAGAAAACUCGAUUCUCCAAGUAGCGGCGAGCGAACAGAGAACAGCCCAUUAAAGUAAGACUAAACUGAUAGACAAAUCUUAUGGAAAGAAGAACCAAAGAAAGUAACAGUCUUGUAGUCGAAAUCAGAAUAGAGACACUUUAAGAAGAGUACCACGGAGCACGUGAAAUUCUGUGGGAAGAUAGGGGGACCACCCCCUAAGGCUAAAUACUACCUGGUGACCGAUAGCGAAUAGUACCGUGAGGGAAAGGUGAAAAGAACCCCGGGAGGGGAGUGAAACAGAACCUGAAACCUUGCGCCUACAAGCAGACAGAGGAAGAAGACUUCUAAUGUCGUACUUUUUGUAGAACGGGCCAGCGAGUUACGAUACGUAGCAAGAUUAAACAUUUAAGAUGUGAAGUCGCAGGGAAACCGAGUCUUAAUAGGGCAGAAGUUAUGUGUUGUAGACCCGAAACCGGGUGAUCUAUCCAUGGGCAGAGUGAAGGUAAAGUAAAAUUUACUGGAGGCUCGAACCGGGUAGCGUUUAAAAGCUAUCGGAUGACCUGUGGAUAGGGGUGAAAAGCCAAUCGAACUCGGAUAUAGCUGGUUCUCCUCGAAAUAGCUUUAGGGCUAGCCUUGUUUUAGAUUACAGGAGGUAGAGCACUGAAUAGUCUAGGGGAAGUAAUUCUACCGAAACUUAUCAAACUCCGAAUGCCUGAAAAUCGAUGAACAGGAGUCAGACCAUGAGGGAUAAGCUUCAUAGUCAAAAGGGAAACAGCCCAGACCACCAGUUAAGGUCCCAAAAUACAGAUUAAGUGGGAAAGGAUGUAAUACUACUCAGACAACCAGGAUGUUGGCUCAGAAGCAGCCAUACAUUUAAAGAGUGCGUAAUAGCUCACUGGUCAAGUGGUAAUGCGCCGAAGAUGAACGGGGCUAAAUCUGAUACCGAAACUGUGGGAUAGAAAAGCAAUUAUGCGAGAAGUAUGAAGAAAAGUGAUUAGGAAAUAUAUCAACUAGUAAAGUAAGAGAGAAAAGACACAAACUAAAACUAUUAAACGAUACAAUUUCUAAAACACUUAACAACAUACAACUGGCAUAAUAGCUUUUCUAUCGGUAGAGGAGCGUUGUAUAUGAAUUGAAGCAAAAAGCGUAAGCAAUUGUGGAUUAUAUACAAGUGAGAAUGCUGGCAUGAGUAGCGAAAAGGGAUGUGAGAAUCAUCCCCGUCGAAAGCCCAAGGAUUCCUGAGCAAGGCUCGUCCUCUCAGGGUAAGUCGGGACCUAAGGCGAGGCCGAAAGGCGUAGUCGAUGGACAACAGGUAGAAAUUCCUGUACUACAAGAUUGUGAUUGAGAGAAGUACUGACGCAGAAGGAAAAGUCGAGCGUGUGAAUGGUAGAACACGUCCAAGUAACAAGCCAGAAUAUACAGGCAAAUCCGUAUAUUCGCUAACGUAAGUUAUCAUGGGGAGCAGAAAGAUGCGAAGCGACAGAUUCAAACUGCCAAGAAAAGGUGCUAUCGAAUAAUCUUGUACCCGUACCGCAAACCGACACAGGUAGGCAAGAAGAGAAUUCUAAGACGCGCGGAAGAACCUUUGUUAAGGAACUCGGCAAAAUAAUCCCGUAAGUUAGCGAGAAGGGAUGCCUAAGAAAUUAGGUCGCAGAGAAUAGGCCCAAGCGACUGUUUACCAAAAACACAAGUAUCUGCUAAAUCGAAAGAUGAAGUAUAGGUGCUGACACCUGCCCGGUGCUGGAAGGUCAAGGGGACUUGUUAGAGCAAUCGAAGCAACGAACUUAAGCCCCAGUAAACGGCGGCCGUAACUAUAACGGUCCUAAGGUAGCGAAAUUCCUUGUCGGGUAAGUUCCG
rnacentral:rRNA from 1 species